UUCCUCCCACCUUUGGCCACUCUCCUGCUGCCUCUCUGCCCCUCCAGCCAUCCCCACUCCCCUGUCUGCAUUCUUCUCCAUCUGCCCUGUUUGCCUCCCAUCACAGCAUCUGACAGACCCUGCCUUUCUGCAGAGAGACCAGGGCAGUCACCUACAGCUCUCCACAGGGCGCUGAGUCCCAGGGGGCAGCAAGACCCUUUUCCCUCCUGCUGUAUUUGAGAGGUAUGGAGAACAGGACCCUGUUGUGCUAAUCUCUGGAUAAGCUUAUAAUGAGAGUCCCCAUACUGACAAAUCCAUUAUAUAAAUGGAAAAAGAGACCCAGAGAGAGCAGGGACACAAAAGGGAGCGAACAAUACAGGAGCUGCGAAUAUCAGGUAAGGUGGCUUUGGAGAACUGCUGAUGAGCCUCUUUCGGCAGUUUGCCUACACUGCCUUCAUUAGGAUGACACAUCCAGCCACCAAUUCUUCAACAGACACCUAAAAGGCACAAACUGUGAGGAAGUUUCCCUGUGGAUAUAGCCCAUCUGACAUCUGUUUCAUCUUUCAGGACCUCAAGAGCAAGUGGUAAUCAUUCUACCAUGGGAACGAAAGACAGCAGGAUAAAGCUCAAACUUGCCAUUCUUAGCUGGUCAAAACAGAAGUUCUGUCUCCAUAACUCCAACUUUCCCUUCAAAUACAUGUGUUGAAACUUU